rnacentral:rRNA from 1 species
AUGGCUCCUCUUUCGUCCAAGGCCGUUGCACUCGUUGCACUGUUCUCCCUCCUCGUCACCUACGCCGCCGGCGCCGGGAACUUCAACGACUCCGCCUUCACCGCCGACCCCAACUGGGAGGACGCCAGGGCCACCUGGUACGGCGCCCCCACCGGCGCCGGCCCUGACGACGAUGGUGGUGCCUGCGGGUUCAAGAACACCAACCAGUACCCCUUCUCCUCCAUGACAUCGUGCGGCAACGAGCCCAUCUUCAAGGACGGCAAGGGGUGCGGCUCCUGCUACCAGAUACGAUGCACCAACGACCAGUCCUGCUCCGGCAACCCGGAGACGGUGGUCAUCACCGACAUGAACUACUACCCGGUUGCCAAGUACCACUUCGACCUGAGCGGCACCGCCUUCGGCGCCAUGGCCAAGCCCGGCCUCAGCGAGAAGCUCCGCCACUCGGGCAUCAUCGACAUCCAGUUCAAGAGGGUGCCGUGCGAGUUCCCCGGUCUCAAGGUGACCUUCCACGUGGAGCAGGGGUCGAACCCGGUGUACUUCGCGGUGCUGGUGGAGUACGAGGACGGCGACGGCGACGUGGUGCAGGUGGACCUCAUGGAGGCCAACUCCGGGACGUGGACGCCGAUGCGCGAGUCAUGGGGCUCCAUCUGGCGGCUCGACUCCGGCCACCGCCUCCAGGCGCCCUUCUCCAUGCGCAUCACCAACGAGUCCGGCAAGACGCUGGUGGCCGACAAGGUCAUCCCGGCCAACUGGGCGCCCAGCACCUUCUACCGCUCCAUCGUCCAGUACAGCUGA